ACAGGAGGAUAGCCUCUCGAAAGAGAGAUUAAUAUUCCAUAACAUAUUGAAUAGGCAUCUAUUUAAUAUCAAAGCUCCGGCGGUCGAGGAUGGGCAUGCGGUUGAUUAGCUAGUUGGUGAGGUAACGGCUCACCAAGGCAACGAUCAAUAGGGGGUCUGAGAGGAUGUCCCCCCACACUGGUACUGAGACACGGACCAGACUCCUACGGGAGGCAGCAGUAGGGAAUAUUGGUCAAUGGAGGCAACUCUGAACCAGCCAUGCCGCGUGCAGGAAGACUGCCCUAUGGGUUGUAAACUGCUUUUGUACGGGAAGAAACCCGCCUACGUGUAGGUGGUUGACGGUACCGUGAGAAUAAGGAUCGGCUAACUUCGUGCCAGCAGCCGCGGUAAUACGAAGGAUCCAAGCGUUGUCCGGAUUUACUGGGUUUAAAGGGAGCGUAGGCGGUCUCAUAAGUCAGUGGUGAAAGCCUUCAGCUUAACUGAAGAAUUGCCAUUGAAACUGCGAGACUCGAGUAUGGUUGAGGUCACUGGAAUGUAACAUGUAGCGGUGAAAUGCAUAGAUAUGUUACAGAACACCAAUUGCGAAGGCAGGUGACUAAGCCAUAACUGACGCUGAGGCUCGAAAGCGUGGGGAGCAAACAGGAUUAGAUACCCUGGUAGUCCACGCCCUAAACUAUGAAUACUCGGUCUUGGCGAUAUACAGUCAGGGCCCAAGCGAAAGCGUUAAGUAUUCCACCUGGGAAGUACGAUCGC
rnacentral:rRNA from 1 species